AGGUAGGUAGGUAGGUACUCGGACGUGUGUGUGAUAAAAUUAAUCAACAAGAAAUACAAAUAUUUACUAAUGAAUUUAGUGUAUUGGAGUGUGUUUUAUCCAUGAACAAAACUCGUAGUGAUAUCAGAACUUUUCCAUGUGUUAAAAAACGCGACAGAAGUAAUUGAGUUGCGUGUGCGCCACCAGGGAGCAUGUCACAAUCACGGAUGUAAAAACACAAGUUGUAAAUGCCAGAAUAACAAGAGAUUUUGUACCAUGCAGCUGUAAAUGAUGUGGACGUAUAUGGUGUUGUUGACGGCGGCGAUGGCGGCCGCGCGCGCCGGUGCCGGCGACGCCAUCGAUUUACCGCUGUAUUUAUCGUCGGAGAUGUCGUGGGGCGGGCCGGCGGCGGGGUGCGCGGGGGGCGCGGCGCCGGGGGGGCGG